rnacentral:rRNA from 1 species
UGGGGAAUUUUGGACAAUGGGCGCAAGCCUGAUCCAGCAAUGCCGCGUGCAGGAUGAAGGCCUUCGGGUUGUAAACUGCUUUUGUACGGAACGAAAAGCCUCUCUCUAAUACAGGGGGGCUGAUGACGGUACCGUAAGAAUAAGCACCGGCUAACUACGUGCCAGCAGCCGCGGUAAUACGUAGGGUGCAAGCGUUAAUCGGAAUUACUGGGCGUAAAGCGUGCGCAGGCGGUUUUGUAAGACAGUGGUGAAAUCCCCGGGCUCAACCUGGGAACUGCCAUUGUGACUGCAAGGCUGGAGUGCGGCGGAGGGGGAUGGAAUUCCGCGUGUAGCAGUGAAAUGCGUAGAUAUGCGGAGGAACACCGAUGGCGAAGGCAAUCCCCUGGGCCUGCACUGACGCUCAUGCACGAAAGCGUGGGGAGCAAACAGGAUUAGAUACCCUGGUAGUCC